rnacentral:rRNA from 1 species
CUUACAACUUUUAGCAACGGAUGUCUAGGUUCUCGCAACGAUGAAGAACGCAGCGAAAUGCGAUACGUAAUGCGAAUUGCAGAAUAUGUGAAUCAUCAAAUUUUUGAACGCAAAUUGCGCUUCCGGGUACUCCUGGAAGCAUGCCUGUUUCAGUGUCUGUU